rnacentral:rRNA from 1 species
GACAGAGGGUGCGAACGUUGUUCGGAAUUAUUGGGCGUAAAGAGCUCGUAGGCGGUUUGUCGCGUCUGCUGUGAAAACUCGGGGCUUAACUCCGGGCCUGCAGUGGGUACGGGCAGACUAGAGUGCGGUAGGGGAGACUGGAAUUCCUGGUGUAGCGGUGAAAUGCGCAGAUAUCAGGAGGAACACCGGUGGCGAAGGCGGGUCUCUGGGCCGAUACUGACGCUGAGGAGCGAAAGCGUGGGGAGCGAACAGG